AUGGCCACCGGAGGCGCCCCAAAGCCGGAGGAGGAGACCGUCGUCUUCCCCGAUUGGGUGAUGCUGGAACGCAUCUUCCACAAAUGGUGCCACGACGACCUAGACGCUGCUGGUGAGGCCGUCAACAAGAACAAGACCGCCGCUCCAGUCAAGAUUGACAGCGGCCACUCCUGCUUCGUCUCCUUCACCCUCGCAGCUCCUCCAGGGUCCUCCUACUUCAACCUCCAUUGGCCGGAGAGACAAGGCUCAGAAGGACUCCUUGCCUUCGUCCGAGCAAUCGACAAGAACCUCGUCCUCUUCGACAUCUUGAUCCCCGACCGGAUUCGCUACAUGGACGCUCCGCCAGAUCUGUUCAUCUACACGGCCUCUGCUCCUUCCCCCUCGGUGCAGCAGCUUCCUCGGCGCAGCACAAAGCGGUUCCUGGCUCAUAAGUUCACCACCGGCAUUCUGCAGCUCAAAGCGGAGCACUGCUACAUCGUUGCCGACCUCAAUGUCCACCCCAAGAAAAAGGGCGUUAGUGCUGAAAUCUGUGUCUUCAACUCCGGCGCCAACGAGUGGAGAAUCAUCACCAAGGUGCUUGCUGAUAAGCUCCCUGACCUCUGGUGGACCGAUGAUGUGUUUGCUUUCGACGGCCAUUUCCUUUGCUGGGUGGACUACUUCAGCGGCGUCGUGCUAUGCGACUUCUCCAAAAAUGUGGACUCCCCGGUGCUCCACUUUGUGCCUUUUCCUGGAGGAAUCAAAUACCCUGAUGACGCACGAUUCCCGAGGUACUUCCCAGGGAGGUUCCGAAGUGUGUCCAUCAGCCAAGGCAUGAUCCGCUACAUCCACAUUGACAAUGACUUUCAUGAGACUAUCCACUCUGGCUGGCAAGGGAUUCCUCCUAAGAGAAGCCAACAGCGGCAGAAGCAGCUAACCCAAAAAAUUACCAUUUGGACGUUGAAAUCCAAGUUCGAGUGGGAGGUGCAUUGUGAGAUCAACCUGGAUUGUCUCUGGGCACAACCUCUUUACCGAGGUCUGCGCUUACCUCGGCGUCUUCCUGAGUUCCCAGUCAUCAGCAUGGAUGACCCGGGUGUUCUGUGCUACCUGCUGAGGGCGAAGGAAUUUGAUGGCAAGGAGUGGAUGAUCAUGGUUGACAUGAACCAUGCGGAUCUGCAGUCAUGUACUGAUGUGAAUGUAGAAGACAAGUUCUCUAAUACCACCCAACUUCCAACUGUCUUCUCCAAAUACCUUCAAAAGGCCAACAGGAUUCUCAAAGAACUUCUUUCUUAA
rnacentral:rRNA from 1 species